GUAGUACUCCCUCUGUUCGAAAUUACUUGUCACAAAAAUGGAUGUAUCUACAACUAAAAUACAUCUAGAUACAUUCAUUUCUUGGACGAGUAAUUUUGAACAGAGGGAGUAUGUA
rfam:Triticum urartu cultivar G1812 contig993454, whole genome shotgun sequence.